CCUACGGGUGACAGCAGUGAGGAAUAUUGGUCAAUGGACGCAAGUCUGAACCAGCCAUGCCGCGUGCAGGAAGACGGCUCUAUGAGUUGUAAACUGCUUUUGUACGAGGGUAAACGCAGAUACGCGUAUCUGUCUGAAAGUAUCGUACGAAUAAGGAUCGGCUAACUCCGUGCCAGCAGCCGCGGUAAUACGGAGGAUUCAAGCGUUAUCCGGAUUUAUUGGGUUUAAAGGGUGCGUAGGCGGUCGGAUAAGUUAGAGGUGAAAUCCCGAGGCUCAACUUCGGAAUUGCCUCUGAUACUGUUCGUCUAGAGAGUAGUUGCGGUAGGCGGAAUGUAUGGUGUAGCGGUGAAAUGCUUAGAGAUCAUACAGAACACCGAUUGCGAAGGCAGCUUACCAAGCUACUUCUGACGUUGAGGCACGAAAGCGUGGGGAGCAAACAGGAUUAGAUACCCGAGUAGUC
rnacentral:rRNA from 1 species